rnacentral:rRNA from 1 species
UACGUAGGGUCCAAGCGUUAUCCGGAAUCACUGGGCGUAAAGCGUGCGUAGGUGGAUUGUUAAGUGCGAUGCGAAAUCCUGUGGCUCAACCAUAUGGACUGUAUCGCAUACUGGCAAUCUCGAGGACAUGAGAGGCAAGUGGAAUUACUGGUGUAGCAGUGAAAUGCGUAGAGAUCAGUAGGAACACCAAUGGCGAAGGCAGCUUGCUGGCAUGUAUCUGACGCUAAGGCACGAAAGCGUGGGGAGCGAACAGG